rnacentral:rRNA from 1 species
CUAAGCGUACACGGCGGAUGCCCUGGCAGUCAGAGGCGAUGAAGGGCGUGCUAAUCUGCGAUAAGCGCCGGUAAGGUGAUAUGAACCGUUAUAACCGGCGAUACCCGAAUGGGGAAACCCAGUGUGAUUCGUCACACUAUCAUUAACUGAAUCCAUAGGUUAAUGAGGCGAACCGGGGGAACUGAAACAUCUAAGUACCCCGAGGAAAAGAAAUCAACCGAGAUUCCCCCA